GACGAACGCUGGCGGCGUGCUUAACACAUGCAAGUCGAACGGAAAGGCCCUGCUUUUGUGGGGUGCUCGAGUGGCGAACGGGUGAGUAACACGUGAGUAACCUGCCCUUGACUUUGGGAUAACUUCAGGAAACUGGGGCUAAUACCGGAUAGGAGCUCCUGCUGCAUGGUGGGGGUUGGAAAGUUUCGGCGGUUGGGGAUGGACUCGCGGCUUAUCAGCUUGUUGGUGGGGUAGUGGCUUACCAAGGCUUUGACGGGUAGCCGGCCUGAGAGGGUGACCGGCCACAUUGGGACUGAGAUACGGCCCAGACUCCUACGGGAGGCAGCAGUGGGGAAUAUUGCACAAUGGGCGGAAGCCUGAUGCAGCAACGCCGCGUGCGGGAUGACGGCCUUCGGGUUGUAAACCGCUUUCGCCUGUGACGAAGCGUGAGUAACGGUAAUGGGUAAAGAAGCACCGGCUAACUACGUGCUAGCAGCCGCGGUGAUACGUAGGGUGCGAGCGUUGUCCGGAUUUAUUGGGCGUAAAGGGCUCGUAGGUGGUUGAUCGCGUCGGAAGUGUAAUCUUGGGGCUUAACCCUGAGCGUGCUUUCGAUACGGGUUGACUUGAGGAAGGUAGGGGAGAAUGGAAUUCCUGGUAGAGCGGUGGAAUGCGCAGAUAUCAGGAGGAACACCAGUGGCGAAGGCGGUUCUCUGGGCCUUUCCUGACGCUGAGGGGCGAAAGCGUGGGGAGCGAACAGGCUUAGAUACCCUGGUAGUCCACGCUGUAAACGGUGGGUACUAGGUGUGGGGUCCAUUCCACGGGUUCCGUGCCGUAGCUAACGCUUUAAGUACCCCGCCUGGGGAGUACGGCCGCAAGGCUAAAACUCAAAGGAAUUGACGGGGCCCCGCACAAGCGGCGGAGCAUGCGGAUUAAUUCGAUGCAACGCGUAGAACCUUACCUGGGUUUGACAUGGAUCGGGAGUGCUCAGAGAUGGGUGUGCCUCUUUUGGGGUCGGUUCACAGGUGGUGCAUGGCUGUCGUCAGCUCGUGUCGUGAGAUGUUGGGUUAAGUCCCGCAACGAGCGCAACCCUUGUUCACUGUUGCCAGCACGUUAUGGUGGGGACUCAGUGGAGACCGCCGGGGUCAACUCGGAGGAAGGUGGGGAUGACGUCAAGUCAUCAUGCCCCUUAUGUCCAGGGCUUCACGCAUGCUACAAUGGCUGGUACAGAGAGUGGCGAGCCUGUGAGGGUGAGCGAAUCUCGGAAAGCCGGUCUCAGUUCGGAUUGGGGUCUGCAACUCGACCUCAUGAAGUCGGAGUCGCUAGUAAUCGCAGAUCAGCAACGCUGCGGUGAAUACGUUCCCGGG
rnacentral:rRNA from 1 species